CACAUAAUGCUUCUUCGGUAAGGAGUGGCUUGAUUUAAACCUUAUACCCUUAUAAGAAAACUCAGAAGUAGGGAAAAGAGAUAACCACCCACAACCUUUAAAGAAAAACCACAGUAUUUCUCUACUUUAUUGUUUUCUCAACCCAGUUGGCUUAAUUCCCAAUAUAAAGUAUUUGGUAUAGUUUUUAGAUGAUUUGCAACAAUUCCCAACACAUUAUUGAAGUAAUAUUUCCAGUUCUCCAGAAUCUAAAGAGCAAUACCAUAUUCAAUUCAUUCAUAUCCUUUGGGACUUUAUAAUACUUAAAUUAUUUUAUCACAUAGAUACAUUGUGACCAAUUUACCUACUCAGGAAUUGCUCUAUAUGGCAUUUUUCACAUGCUUAUUUUUUUUCCUUUUUUUCCCAUUUCCCAAGGUCUUUAAUAUCUUUUCUUUUUCAAAUUAGAGAAGUAGCUAUAACUCAUGGUAUUGUUCAUAUCAAAACAUCAUGUUUUAUUACAUGCAUAAAGAUAAUAAAAUAAAUAUUAUUUAUAAUAUAUUUACCUGCAAUAUAAUCUUAAUCUCUCUAUAAUGAUAAAUUAGAAUCAAUACUUUCCAAAUUAAUCUGUAUUUAUUUCUAAGUCAGUUUUUCCCAAGUUAUAUCUAAAAUUUCAGAGCCUGUUUUAUUUUAAAAUUAGGUUAUGAUUUGAAGUUUCUUAUCUACAUUGAAGUUCAUCUUCCAUUUUCCAUACCACAGUCAAUACCAAGAAUCCCCUGGAGUUUAUCAUUAUCAGCUUGUUAUUUCACUAGCUGGAAGAAUAUAUUGCUGCUUUAAACAUUCCUUUUUACUAUUUACUCCCAAGCCUUUAAAUUAAAAAUUUAAUAAUAAUGCAGUGAUUCAACCAUCAAGUUAUUUAGACUAAAAGAAUCCAAGGAAUACUCUGAUAAGAAUACAAGUCUGGGGAUGCAAAUUAUUUUUAUAGAUAAAAGUGGUUGUCUUUUUAUCAGUAAGUAGCUAAAGUCAAAUAGAAGUACUGUGAUCUAGCAUUGUAACAAAUAUUUGUAUUUGACCUUGUAUCCUAGCUUACAUGUACAGUUAUGAGUACAAAGAUAUCAUUACUAGAUAAUUGUCAAGUAAACAGGAAUGUGGCUAUCUGACCAAACUUCUUUUAGAGUCAUGAAGUAUAUUCAGUGGAAAAUGUGAUCAAGCUCCUACCUUGUGAUCAAUGGAGAGAAAGGAUCCUUCACUGUGACAUAAAAGGACUGGAAGUAAUGGUGGCUUUUCCAUUAACAAAUUCUAUGAUCUUGCUUAAUUGUCUUUCUCUGAUGAUUAAUUUCUGCAGGGGGUAAAAAUAAGAAUAAAAAUUCCUAUUAAUGUAUAAGAUUAUAAAAAUUAAAUGAAAUAAUGAUAA